rnacentral:lncRNA from 1 species
UGGUUCUCAGCUACUGCUGUUGUUCCCUUUUACAGAUGUGGACUAGUCACCGUGGGCCCAGGGCUGCGCAGUUUGUGCGUGUUGGAACCACAUCCUGACCUAAGUCAGUUGCCCAGACUGUCCCUCCCGGAGGAAAGCACAAAGGGACAGCAUGCCGCGCAAACAUCUGUACGAACCAUCAGAACCAUCCUGGCUGUAAAAUGCAGUGAGGCCAUGCCAGAGCAUCCCAAGGGAAGGUCAGUCCUGUCGACACACAUCUAUUAGAACCUUAACUAAAUUCUUAGCUCCCUGAGGACAGGGACUAGUUCUGAUAUGUGUUUGUCACUCUGGGUUUCCAGCUCUAGAUGGACGCCUUAUAUACAGUAGGCACUUAUUAAAUGUUUGCUGACGGUCGUCCUGACUUCCCAAAUAAGUUUUUGCAAUGCUUCUUCCAAAGCUCUCCCUUUUCUUUUGUAAAGAUUGUGGUACCAUGCUGAUUUUUCCAAUUAGUACAGUAUCU